GCGGUUAUGCUGGAAUUGGCAGACAGGCUAGACUAAGGAUCUAGUGGAGUGAUCCGUAUCGGUUCAAGUCCGAUUAGCCGUA
rnacentral:tRNA from 1 species